UACAGAGGUCCCGAGCGUUAGGCGGAAUCACUGGGCUUAAAGCGUGUGUAGGCGGAUGCCUAAGUACCUUGUGAAAUCCCACGGCUCACCCGUGGAACUGCUUGGUAUACUGGGUGUCUUGAGCCACUUAGGGGCUACCGGAACAAAUGGUGGAGCGGUGAAAUGCGUAGAUAUCAUGUGGAACGCCAAUGGUGAAAACAGGUAGCUGGGAGUGUGCUGACGCUGAGACACGAAAGCCAGGGGAGCAAACGGG
rnacentral:rRNA from 1 species